rnacentral:misc_RNA from 1 species
GAUGAAGAACGCAGCGAAAUGCGAUAAGUAGUGUGAAUUGCAGAAUUCCGUGAAUCAUCGAAUCUUUGAACGCACAUUGCGCCUUCUGGUAUUCCGGAAGGCAUGCCUGUUCGAGAGUCAUUAACAACCGUUUCGAUCCCUUUCUUUCAGAAAUUACAAAGAGGAAAAGGGUUUGGUUAUGGUGGAGGAGGGAAAGGGAGCGUUUAGCCUGUAAAAAAAGAGGCUGUGUUCCGCCUCCCCCCCAAAAUUGUACAGGCGGUCGUGUGCGCCCACGCAUCGAGGUGUUGUAAAAGCUGCCACGACACUUUUCACCUGUGCAGUGCGAGAUUGGCCAGCCGGUUUAAAAACCCCUCCAAACAAUCAAAGGUUGACCUCGGAUCAGGUAGGGAUACCCGCUGAACUUAAGCAUAUCAAUAAGCGGAGGA